rnacentral:rRNA from 1 species
AGAGUUUGAUUCUGGCUCAGGAUGAACGCUGGCGGCGUGCCUAACACAUGCAAGUCGAACGGAGAUGAGCGAGAAGCUUGCUUUUGCUCAUCUAGUGGCGGACGGGUGAGUAACGCGUGGGUAACCUACCCUGUACAGGGGGAUAGCAGCUGGAAACGGCUGAUAAAACCGCAUAAAACGGCAGUACCGCAUGGUACAACCGUCAAAUAUUUAUAGGUACAGGAUGGGCCCGCGUCUGAUUAGCCAGUUGGUGGGGUAACGGCCUACCAAAGCAACGAUCAGUAGCCGGCCUGAGAGGGUGAACGGCCACAUUGGGACUGAGACACGGCCCAAACUCCUACGGGAGGCAGCAGUGGGGAAUAUUGGACAAUGGGGGGAACCCUGAUCCAGCGACGCCGCCGUGAGUGAAGAAGUAUUUCGGUAUGUAAAGCUCUAUCAGCAGGGAAGAUGAUGACGGUACCUGACUAAGAAGCACCGGCUAAAUGCGUGCCAGCAGCUGC